UACGUAGGGGGCAAGCGUUAUCCGGAUUUACUGGGUGUAAAGGGAGCGUAGACGGAAUUGCAAGUCUGAUGUGAAAAUCCGGGGCCCAACCCCGGAACUGCAUUGGAAACUGUAUUUCUAGAGUGUCGGAGAGGCAAGUGGAAUUCCUGGUGUAGCGGUGAAAUGCGUAGAUAUCAGAAGGAACACCAGUGGCGAAGGCGGCUUGCUGGACGAUGACUGACGUUGAGGCUCGAAAGCGUGGGGAGCAAACAGG
rnacentral:rRNA from 1 species